rnacentral:tRNA from 1 species
GCUAUAAUAAUUUAAUAAAAAUAUUGAUCUUGUAAAUCAAAAAUAAGUUUAACUUUUUUAGCU